rnacentral:rRNA from 1 species
AUUGAACGCUGGCGGCAGGCCUAACACAUGCAAGUCGAGCGGAUGAAGGGAGCUUGCUCCUGGAUUCAGCGGCGGACGGGUGAGUAAUGCCUAGGAAUCUGCCUGGUAGUGGGGGAUAACGUCCGGAAACGGGCGCUAAUACCGCAUACGUCCUGAGGGAGAAAGUGGGGGAUCUUCGGACCUCACGCUAUCAGAUGAGCCUAGGUCGGAUUAGCUAGUUGGUGGGGUAAAGGCCUACCAAGGCGACGAUCCGUAACUGGUCUGAGAGGAUGAUCAGUCACACUGGAACUGAGACACGGCCCAGACUCCUACGGGAGGCAGCAGUGGGGAAUAUUGGACAAUGGGCGAAAGCCCGAUCCAGCCAUGCCGCGUGUGUGAAGAAGGUCUUCGGAUUGUAAAGCACUUUAAGUUGGGAGGAAGGGCAGUAAGUUAAUACCUUGCUGUUUUGACGUUACCAACAGAAUAAGCACCGGCUAACUUCGUG